CAUUUCUUACCAAGACCGUGACGGACACAAUAGUGAUGGUGGUUGUGGUGACAGUGCUUGUGGUGAUUCUUCUCUCAGCUGGUAGUCAGGGGAUCCGUAUGUGUAACCAUGCAGAGAAGCCAGAGAAUCAUGGUAGAGGCUAGCAAGAUGCUCACUGUGUUAGCUACCUACAGCUGUGUGACAAGUCACCCCCAAACUUAGUAGCUUUAAACAAUAACGAAAAGGUACUAUUUCUUAUUGUUUUUGCAGGUCAGUAAUUCAGCAAGGGAGAGUGGAUGGCUCGUUCACUGACUCGUCUAGCAGUUGAUCCCAGCUGGUGGCUGGGGAAAUGUUCAGCUGGAAUGUAUACAUGGGGCCUCUCCAUGUGACCUGGGCUUCCUCCCAACAUGGCGACUAGAGUCCAAGCAGGGCACAUGGUGGAGAUGACGAUGACACCAACCUCAGGGAGCCUGGAUCCCUGAGUCAUCACCUGGAGGAGAACCAUCCAGUCCAUAAUGACUUUACUCCAAAUUCAUUGCCUCUAGACAUGUGUGAGACUGCAGUGUUCAGACGAAGAAACUGAGCCUGGGAAGUUAUCGAGAGCCAUGACCAUCUCAGAAGAGACCAGCUCAUCUCAGAAGUGAUCUCGCUGGGAAAGGCCGUAAUUUUCCACCAGGCCACGGGGCCCACUUUGCAUCCACAAGGAGAAGCUUGCACAGUUGGGCUCCUCUCCUGCCUUGUGUUGUCUGGACCCUGGGGCCAGUCUUAUUUUGCAUGAACAGAGUUGUCCUGGUCCCAGCGAUUCUUUGCUGGUGUGGAGACUGGAAGUAGGAGCCCAAGGUCCACCAGGCACGGGGGCUCGUGGAGAUGGUUAUGCUCAGGGCAGGGGUCUGGGGAUGACACAGCUUUUCUACAGAAAAAUGCCCUCUGUCCUCUGCAUAGUCCUUGGUAGCCAACCUUAGUUUUGUCUUGCUUUGUUUUUUUCUCUUCAGCCUCCAGAAGAGUGUCUGUUCAACGUAAAGAAUAAAGCAUGAGUGAGUUCUGAAAGCCACUGGGGAGACCUCCUUUUACUGGGGACAUCUGCUUGUCCUUGCCCUUUGGAGAAAUCAAUGAAUUUGAUUUUUGGACAGGUGAAAAUAUUCAUUGGAACACCAUGGGUGAACAAAGUCCACCCUCCCAGCCCUCAUUGAUUUCUCUGAAGUUGGCCAGAUGUUGUCACAAUUUCCCUGUAACAGGUCCUGGGGAAAUUCUGUGCUGAAAAUAGCACCCGGGAGCUGGUGGCUGCAAAUGGGACAGUUAUUCCAGGACUCUUCUCAGAAACAAAUACAAACCUUAUAACAAAACCCAUUGCACCAGUAGAAAUCCCAUGGAGAUGCCUUCAUAAUUUGGAACUUCAUGAUUCGCAACUUCAUACCUUCAGCUACAUGAUGGAAAAAUUCCCACACGGGAUCAGUUAUGAAAUCCACAGCUAAGUCAGCCUCCUCCUGGGGCUGGUGGGCUGGGAACUGCAGUCACUUUUGAUGGAAUAGAGGACCCCCAGGAAAUGAACCUGGAAUGCUGGAGACUGGGGAGAGUUUUGUCCAAAGCACGUCUCUCUCUCUCUCUCUCUCUCUCGCUCUCUGCCUCUCUCUCUGCACACUGUGACUUGCUAACCUCUUUCCUUUAGCCAGUAGCCUCAACUUUAUUUUCACCACAUCAUUAUUUCUGUGGCCCGGACAUGCCAAUGGGAUGUCAACAUUAUUCUGAUGAGAAUUUUAUUUUAUCAUGAGGAUUACAGGCAAAUGACAUAACAGCUUUCUGUUCACCAAGGAAUCUCUGGCAAAGGGGGAAAAAGCAGAUAAUCCAGGGGAGGGGAAGGGCACUCACUUUUAUUGCACGCCUCCUAAAUCCAGGUGCUUUACGUAGAUUAUCUCAGAUCAGUUCCUCCUAGGCAACAGCCUUGUGAGGAUCGUCAUUCGACAGACAAAGAAAGGGAGACUUAGGGGGGUUGAACAAGUUACCCAAGACCUCAAGACCUGAGCUUAAAAGCAGGCAGACGCAGGGGCUAAAGUCUAGAAUCUUUCCACUGACAAAGCACCAUCUCUACAUGCAGAAUACCUUGAACUCUUAGACUAACUCCCGAGGCUGCAGACCAGCAGGAGAGAAGUGAGGGCAGCUACCUGGUGUCUCGGGGCUGAGAAGAGGUCCGCUGGGGAGCCUUGGACAAACCAGAAGCACAGCAGCUCGGGGCCUGUCUUCCUUCUCCAGACGCAGCUCUCCCCUUGCUCAGUGAGAAAGGACAGAUGGACAGCCUGAGCCUUGCCUUCGUUAGGCCGCAGCCUUCCCACUUUGAAUGAUUCAAGCCCUCCCCUAGCUAUCAAGGUAUGUAGGGCUGCCCUGUCACCUUCAGCCUGCACCAGGGUACAGCAGAUGGCGUUCAGGCUGAUUCUGCUCCUCUGCUUGACUAAUCUCCCGGGCACAAGAGUAAACAGAGAGCUCGGGACACCAUAUGUCCCUGACUCACUGUGCUGGCCGGAAUCACCGCUGUUCUCCAUGGCAUAUGACUUCCUGGGCCCAGGUGGAAGGUGGGUCAGAGGAAACCUGCCUGAAAGUUACAGGCGGAAAGAUUAUAGACGUAAAGACACACAUAGGGAGUGGACAUCGGUUAGUCAUAUCCUAAAUGACGUUUAUUUUUAAAGCCUGCUUUGUUUUCCUAGACAGCGUUCGACUUCGGCCAUUCCUUCCAGGGGCCAGCACAGCACUGGCCACCGCAGACCCUCAGGGGAUGUGGCUGGAAUCAAAGGAUUGCCUGCCUAAUUCAUUUCCUUUGUUUACCACUCUGGAAUUUCACCCACAAGUUGAAAAUGAAGCUGACUGUGGUUCAGUUGAAAGAUGUCCUCUUGAGAUGGGGAAGUGGCAUCCUGGUAGGAUAUCAGUUUCUUCUGACCUCUUCAGAGCCCCCUAAGCAGGAGAACCAAAAGGGCAAGGUUGGAGCGAGGGUCUUAGGGUGGGCUGCUCAGGGCCUGAGAUAACUGGAGUUCUUCUGGGGACGCGCACUUAGCACUCAUUAGGAAGAUAAUGGCUCAUGAAACUUCUAUCACUCUUUUCUUGGUCAACCAGAAUACUGGGAGUAUAGGUCAGUCAAGGCCAGAAUUCUCAGGUGUAGGAUCUCAGGAGUAUUGCGCUGGAGCGGUUGGACCUGUCUAGUCAUUCCUUUCCUGCAUACAGAGGGUGGGGUGCAGUAACCCACCUAGGUUCAUACGGUGGGGAGAGGUCAACACGGAUCUAGAGGUCUCUCAACGGUCCAGUGCUUUUGUUGAAAGAAAGAAUCCAGUGGGACCUCCAGCAUUUGAGUCAUUCUGAGCCCCUGCCCUGGGACCCCAGGGAUGGAUGUCUGCCUUUCACACUGCAGGCUUUCGGGCCAUAGCCUAUACUUGGUAACUGGAGUCACAGGAAGGUUAAGAAUGAUCCAGAGCAGCAGUAACAGUCAAAGCCACUCUAGACCAAAUCGUUAAUACUAUCAAGAGCUGUUCACGGCAGUUUCUCAGUCCCUAUCCCUUCCAACCCUGAAAAAUUUGCAAGGGGGUUUU